GUUAUUCAAAUUCUUGUUAUUCAUCUUUUCUAUGUUGAAUUGUUAAUAGCAGAUUUUAUAUGCUUUAUUUAUUUGUCUAGUUCAUCGUUUAUCUUUCAACCUUAAAUAUUAGUUAUUUACCUGAAAAUAACAUAUUUUUUCCUUGAUACUUAGCCGGAUCAUGUAAUGAUUUCACAGAUUUACNNNNNNNNNNCAUGUUGAUAGAACAUGUUAUUGGAUUAACACCUUAUGCUCAAUAAUGAUAACCGAAUAUACUCCCUCCAGUUCUUGAAAAGUCUCCAAAUACAACUUUGACUUCUUAUUUUCGUUAUAUAUUUUCUGAAACUCUGAAAUUAUACUUCUUUCAAAAUACUUAAUGAGACAAGCUAUUUGGACACACGUAUUGUUUUCACAUAUCCAAUCUAAUUAUAUUGCAAAAUAUAGGUUUUGAAAGUUCGAAAAGAUUAAUUGCAGCCAUUUCUAAAAUAUAGAUAACCUGCACGUGGUUUCACAUAUCUAAUCUAUAUGUUAAAAAAAUUAGUCAGACGAAGUUUGAAAUCUGAAACGAUGACUUUUCAGGAACUAAAGGGAGUAUAUAUAACCUCAGAGCAUUUCUCCUAUCCAUAGAUAUCUGAUGCGAUGGUGUAGCUUGGGCUGCACUUCUGGAUGGGGGGCAAACAAAAUGACAUUUGGGCUUGGAUUACUGGGUAUAUGGGCCAUUUUUACUAGUACCUAUUUGGAAGAAACUUCAUG
rnacentral:lncRNA from 1 species